AUUGAACGCUAGCGGGAUGCUUUACACAUGCAAGUCGAACGGCAGCACGAAAAGAGCUUGCUCUUUUUGGUGGCGAGUGGCGAACGGGUGAGUAAUGUAUCGGAAUGUACCCAGUAGCGGGGGAUAACUACGCGAAAGCGUGGCUAAUACCGCAUACGCCCUACGGGGGAAAGGGGGGGAUCGCAAGACCUCUCACUAUUGGAGCGGCCGAUAUCGGAUUAGCUAGUUGGUGGGGUAAAGGCUCACCAAGGCAACGAUCCGUAGCUGGUUUGAGAGGACGACCAGCCACACUGGGACUGAGACACGGCCCAGACUCCUACGGGAGGCAGCAGUGGGGAAUUUUGGACAAUGGGGGAAACCCUGAUCCAGCCAUCCCGCGUGUGCGAUGAAGGCCUUCGGGUUGUAAAGCACUUUUAGCAGGGAAGAAACGGCGCUGACUAAUACUUGGCGCAACUGACGGUACCUGCAGAAUAAGCACCGGCUAACUACGUG
rnacentral:rRNA from 1 species